AGUAAGAUAAGCUAAGCAAGCUAAUAGGUUCAUACCCUAUAUAUAGAAGUAUUAAUCUUCUUCCUAAUU
rnacentral:tRNA from 2 species